ACCACCUCCCCCCACUCAGUGUCCAGUGUUCUCAGUAAUAACCACCUCCUCCUCUCGUUAUUGCCAUAUGCUCAUGCCUCUUACACAGGGGAGGCCAAGGGGCUGAAUUUGACCCAAUGGUUUGAGGGUGGCAGUUGUGCUUCUUUGAGAGAUCCUUAAAAGAGGAGGUUGAAACAGCUAGGAGACUCUUACAUCCCUCCUCCUUCCUCCUGUCUGGAAUGUGGACUUUGGAGCUGGAAGUACAGCAGCCACAUGUGGAGGCACUAGAGAAUAAUAACAGGACACUAGGGUGUGAAUGACACCUCUGUCAUUUCCAGAUCAGCUCUGGACAGCUACCUCUGAAUUCAUUUAUGUGAGAGGAAGGUAAACUGUUGUUAAAGCCAGUGGUAUUCAGGUCUCUGUUAUCACUAGCAAAGUGCAAUUCUUCCUUCUAAACCCAGUUCAUCAUGAAACUUUUCAAACAGCAAAGCUGAGCAUACUGUUUCAUCUCCAGCUCCCAUGCUCACCGGGACUGCACCACUGGUGUUUACUCACCUACUCCACAUCUCCACGUGAAUCUCUAAGGGAUCCCUCAACCUUGACACAGCCAUAACUGAAUGCUUAUUCUCUCUUGCUCCUUGUCUCUCCAUCUUUCCAAUUCAGAAAUGGAUAACCUCAUCCUUCUGGUUUCUCAAGACUACAACCUGGAGUCACCUGGCUCCACUCUAUUCACACCCAAGGCCACGUCCACCAGCAAAGCCUUCAACUCUGCCUUUAAAUUAUUAACCUAGCACCAGAAACUCUCACCUGUCCCACAGCUCCGCCCCUCGCUGAUCAUCACCUCACUGUGGGGUUCCCGCUGGUCUUCAGGUUUCUGCCUGCCCUCCUCUAAGAUAGCCCAGGCCCAGCCAAGCAUCUGAAACAAUUUCUGAGUCAGCAGUCAGAGCCCGACCCUUCUCUGCUGGACACUCCAGUGACUGCCCUCCAGAGGCCACCAAGGUCUGUGCAUGUGAUCUGCCCCCAAGACUCUGACAGGCCACCUCCUUGCUCCGGGGCACUUCCUGUCUGCAGCCUCAGCAGGCUCUUUGUACCUCUGCACCACCUGGGAGCCCCUGCCUCUGGGCUUUGUUGCUGCUGGUCUCUAUGUGGGGUGAUUUUUACCCCCAGAAAUUGUUAUGGUUUGCUCCCCUACUUCACCAUCCUGUUUUAAAUUCCAACUUUGAUGUCCCUUACCCUGGUUUAUUUAUCUCUCAAGUGCUGGUCAUCACCAUAUACCUUGCCACUGUAAUGCCAGAUUCGUGGGACCCCAAUAGACCUCCAGGAGCCGAAUCUGAUGCAAUCACAAAAGAGUCUUCAUUGCAAGCUCCAGCCUGGACUCACAACCGUUCCUUUCCCGAUGCAGCGGUCCCAGGGAGUGAGUCCUGGUCCUUUGUUAAGUGAGAUUUUAUAGAUUUUUGGGGAUACUCUAUGUGUCACAACAUCAUACAGCAAAUCAUUCCACACCACGGGAAAGUCAAACAACAACUCUUAACAUUGA
rnacentral:lncRNA from 1 species